rnacentral:rRNA from 1 species
AUUGAACGCUGGCGGCAUGCCUUACACAUGCAAGUCGAACGGCAGCACGGGUGCUUGCACCUGGUGGCGAGUGGCGAACGGGUGAGUAAUAUAUCGGAACGUACCUUAUUGUGGGGGAUAACGCAGCGAAAGCUGUGCUAAUACCGCAUAAUCCCUAAGGGGGAAAGCGGGGGACCGUAAGGCCUCGCGCAAUUAGAGCGGCCGAUACCUGAUUAGCUAGUUGGUGAGGUAAAGGCUCACCAAGGCAACGAUCAGUAGCUGGUCUGAGAGGACGAUCAGCCACACUGGGACUGAGACACGGCCCAGACUCCUACGGGAGGCAGCAGUGGGGAAUGUUGGACAAUGGGGGCAACCCUGAUCCAGCAAUGCCGCGUGAGUGAAGAAGGCCUUCGGGUUGUAAAGCUCUUUUGUUAGGGAAGAAACAGCAGCUCUAACACAGUUUGCGAAUGACGGUACCUGAAGAAUAAGCACCGGCUAACUACGUGCCAGCAGCCGCCGUAA